rnacentral:rRNA from 1 species
CCAGACUCCUACGGGAGGCAGCAGUGAGGAAUAUUGGUCAAUGGACGGAAGUCUGAACCAGCCAAGUAGCGUGCAGGAUGACGGCCCUAUGGGUUGUAAACUGCUUUUGUAUGGGGAUAAAGUCAAUCACGUGUGAUUGUUUGCAGGUACCAUACGAAUAAGGACCGGCUAAUUCCGUGCCAGCAGCCGCGGUAAUACGGAAGGUCCAGGCGUUAUCCGGAUUUAUUGGGUUUAAAGGGUGCGUAGGCCGGAGAUUAAGUGUGUUGUGAAAUGUAGACGCUCAACGUCUGACUUGCAGCGCAUACUGGUUUCCUUGAGUACGCACAACGUUGGCGGAAUUCGUGGUGUAGCGGUGAAAUGCUUAGAUAUCACGAAGAACUCCGAUUGCGAAGGCAGCUUACGGGAGCGCAACUGACGCUUAAGCUCGAAGGUGCGGGUAUCAAACAGGAUUAGAUACCCUGGUAGUCCGCACAGUAAACGAUGGAUGCCCGCUGUUGGUACCUGGUAUCAGCGGCUAAGCGAAAGCAUUAAGCAUCCCACCUGGGGAGUACGCCGGCAACGGUGAAACUCAAAGGAAUUGACGGGGGCCCGCACAAGCGGAGGAACAUGUGGUUUAAUUCGAUGAUACGCGAGGAACCUUACCCGGGAUUGAAAUGUAGAUGACCGCUCCUGAAAGGGAGUUUUCCUUCGGGACAUCUAUGUAGGUGCUGCAUGGUUGUCGUCAGCUCGUGCCGUGAGGUGUCGGCUUAAGUGCCAUAACGAGCGCAACCCCUGUCUACGGUUGCCAUCAGGUAAUGCUGGGAACUCCGUAGAGACUGCCGUCGUAAGGCGUGAGGAAGGUGGGGAUGACGUCAAAUCAGCACGGCCCUUACAUCCGGGGCGACACACGUGUUACAAUGGUAAGGACAAAGGGCAGCUACCUGGCGACAGGAUGCGAAUCUCUAAACCUUAUCACAGUUCGGAUCGGAGUCUGCAACUCGACUCCGUGAAGCUGGAUUCGCUAGUAAUCGCGCAUCAGCCAUGGCGCGGUGAAUACGUUCCCGGGCCUUGUACACACCGCCCGUCAAGCCAUGGGAGUCUGGAGUACCUAAAGUCCGUAACCGCAAGGGUCGGCCUAGGGUAAUACAGGUGACUGGGGCUAAGUCGUAACAAGGUAGCCGUACCGGAAGGUGCGGCUGGAACACCUCCUUUCUG